rnacentral:lncRNA from 1 species
UGCAAUUGCACAAGAUCUUGGGUUUUUAUCUGCAAUGCAUCAACACAGUGGUGUGAGCAAAACAGAAGACACACUGAAUAGCAGGGGAUAGGUUGCUUAUCCCUUGGUUCUGCCAAUUGCCUCUUCACUUAGGAGGUCUUUGACUCUGUACAAGGACAAAUUUAAACAUACACAAGCAUUGCCUCUUAAGGAGGACUUCAGACAGUUU